UGUAUGGGCAACCUGCCCCGGACAGGAGCAUAGCCAACCGAAAGGUUGGGUAAUUCUCCAUGACGUCUUCUGGGGGCAUCUCCGGAGGACCAAAGGUCCGCCGGUCCGGGAGGGGCCCAUAUCCCAUCAGCUAGUUGGCGGGGUAACGGCCCACCAAGGCUGCAACGGGUAGCCGGACUGAGAGGUCGGCCGGCCACAUCGGGACUGAGACACUGCCCGGACUCCUACGGGGGGCUGCAGUAACGAAUCUUCCGCAAUGGGGGCAACCCUGACGGAGCGACGCCGCGUGCGGGACGAAGUCCUUCGGGAUGUAAACCGCUUUUAGGGGAAGGGAAUCCUGACCGUACCCAGAAUAAGCCACGGCUAACUCUGUGCCAGCAGCCGCGGUAAUACAGAGGUGGCAAGCGUUGCUCGGAAUCACUGGGCUUAAAGGGCAUGUAGGCGGGCGAGUAAGCGCCUUGUGAAAUCCCCCGGCUCAACCGGGGAACCGCUUGGCGAACUGCUCGUCUCGAGGGAGACAGGGGCGACCGGAACUCUGGGUGGAGCGGUGAAAUGCGUAGAUAUCCAGGGGAACGCCGGUGGAGAAAUCGGGUCGCUGGGUCUUUCCUGACGCUGAGGUGCGAAAGCCAGGGGAGCGAACGGGAUUAGAUACCCCGGUAGUCCUGGCCGUAAACGAUGCCAACUGGGUUGGGGCGGGUUUACCCCCGUCCCAGCCGGAGCAAAAGCGUUAAGUUGGCCGCC
rnacentral:rRNA from 1 species